AGGAAAAGGGGGAAUAGUAGGCAUCCCCCUCCUACUAACUAUUCAUGCAGGAACAGCCUCUGGAUAUGCCCCAGCUGAUGCUCUGCUUGAAAUGGUGUCCAAAACACUCACUUGUUGCCCCUAUUUCCACACCAGGUAAACCCGACGAGGAAUACACCUCCAAAUGUACAAAGGAGCAGACAGGCCAGUUUAUU